rnacentral:rRNA from 1 species
UACGGGGGGGGGCAAGCGUUGUUCAGAAUUACUGGGCGUAAAGGGCUCGUAGGCGGCCAACUAAGUCAGACGUGAAAUCCCUCGGCUUAACCGGGGAACUGCGUCUGAUACUGGACGGCUUGAGAUUGGGAGAGGGAUGCGGAAUUCCAGGUGUAGCGGUGAAAUGCGUAGAUAUCUGGAGGAACACCGGUGGCGAAGGCGGCAUCCUGGACCAACACUGACGCUGAGGAGCGAAAGCCAGGGGAGCAAACGGG